rnacentral:rRNA from 1 species
GAUGAACGCUGGCGGCGUGCCUAAUACAUGCAAGUCGAGCGAACGGACGAGAAGCUUGCUUCUCUGAUGUUAGCGGCGGACGGGUGAGUAACACGUGGAUAACCUACUUAUAAUACUGGGAUAACUUCGGGAAACCGGAGCUAAUACCGGAUAAUAUUUUGAACCGCAUGGUUCAAAAGUGAAAGACGGUCUUGCUGUCACUUAUAGAUGGAUCCGCGCUGCAUUAGCUAGUUGGUAAGGUAACGGCUUACCAAGGCAACGAUGCAUAGCCGACCUGAGAGGGUGAUCGGCCACAAUGGAACUGGGAAACGGUCCAGACUCCUAAGGGAGGCAGCAGUAGGGAAUCUUCCGCAAUGGGCGGAAGCCUGACGGAACGACGCCGCGUGAGUGAUGAAGGUCUUCGGAUCGUAAAACUCUGUUAUUAGGGAAAAACAUAUGUGUAAGUAACUGUGCACAUCUUGACGGUACCUAAUCAGAAAGCCACGGCUAACUACGUG